AGAAGGGCGAGAGCGCGGCAGUGCGCAGACGUCAGCAGAGGCCUCCAUUUUUGUUUAGAUAUUUAAUUUAGAGCUCACUUCUACGGGAAAUCUCCUUGGCCAGUACGACUACAGUCUUCCAUAAUGUCAGAGUCAACUGAAGGAGGUGCGUCUGCAGCAGGAGGGGCUGCCCCUGGGGGUGAUGCACCCACAGGCGAAAAUGGUGAAAUCGUUGGUGGUCCCCGUGGGCCACAGCAGGUGGCUGCACAGAAACGAAUGCAGCAAACGCAAGCGCAAGUCGAUGAGGUUGUGGACAUCAUGCGGACAAACGUGGAAAAGGUCCUGGAAAGAGAUCAGAAACUUUCAGAGCUGGAUGACCGUGCAGAUGCCCUCCAACAAGGAGCUUCACAGUUUGAACAACAGGCUGGCAAACUAAAGAGGAAAAUGUGGUGGAAGAACCUAAAGAUGAUGAUCAUCAUGGGUGUCAUCGGUGUCAUUGUCCUCAUCAUCAUUGUUGUUUACUUCAUGUAAAUCGCCGUGUGUAUCAAUGUCUUCUGUAUGUGCGCUCUUGAAACAAAAAAUGAUCAAGCCUGGGCAGUGAACUAAAUUGCUUUUCAGGACAGGUGUUGGUGAAUUUGUGGGUGAGAGCUUCAUUAUGAAAAAAAAAAAAUCCAACCUAAGUCUUGCUAAGAUACC
rnacentral:misc_RNA from 1 species